rnacentral:rRNA from 1 species
UACGUAGGGCGCAAGCGUUGUCCGGAAUUAUUGGGCGUAAAGAGCUCGUAGGCGGCCUGUCGCGUCUGCUGUGAAAUCCCGGGGCUCAACCCCGGGCCUGCAGUGGAUACGGGCUGGCUGGAGGCAGGCAGGGGAGAACGGAAUUCCUGGUGUAGCGGUGGAAUGCGCAGAUAUCAGGAGGAACACCGGUGGCGAAGGCGGGUCUCUGGGCCGUAACUGACGCUGAGGAGCGAAAGCGUGGGGAGCGAACAGG